AACGCACAUUGCGCCCUUUGGUAUUCCGAAGGGCAUGCCUGUUCGAGCGUCAUUAUCACCCCUCAAGCCCCGUGCUUGGUGUUGGACGGCUGGUCGACGCCCCCCUCGACCCCUCCUAAAGAUAAAGACGGCGACCUGUGGUUCCCCCGGUACACUGAGCUUUUCAUCGAGCACGUAUUGGACAAGGGCGCCCAGGACCCGGUCUUCUCCUCUCACGAGGAAAUUUUUCUUAAGGUUGACCUCGGAUCAGGUAGGAAUACGCGCUGAACUUAA
rnacentral:misc_RNA from 1 species